rnacentral:rRNA from 1 species
GACGAACGCUGGCGGCGUGCAUAACACAUGCAAGUCGAACGGAAAGGCUCCAGCUUGCUGGAGUACUCGAGUGGCGAACGGGUGAGUAACACGUGGGUAAUCUGCCCUGCACUCUGGGAUAAGCCUGGGAAACUGGGUCUAAUACUGGAUAUGACCUUUCUCCUUAUGGGGUUUGGUGGAAAGUUUUUCGGUGUAGGAUGAGCCCGCGGCCUAUCAGCUUGUUGGUGGGGUGAUGGCCUACCAAGGCGACGACGGGUAGCCGGCCUGAGAGGGUGAUCGGCCACAUUGGGACUGAGAUACGGCCCAGACUCCUACGGGAGGCAGCAGUGGGGAAUAUUGCACAAUGGGCGGAAGCCUGAUGCAGCGACGCCGCGUGAGGGAUGACGGCCUUCGGGUUGUAAACCUCUUUCAGCAGGGACGAAGCGUAAGUGACGGUACCUGCAGAAGAAGCACCGGCUAACUAUGUG